GGCAAGAUGGCCGAGCGGUCUAAGGCGUCAGGUUAAGGUCCUGAUCUCCGACAGGGGGCGUGGGUUCGAAUCCCACUCUUGUCA
rnacentral:tRNA from 1 species